CCUCUGCGGCCCCGCCCCGGGCGCGCUAGCUGGCUGGAAGUGGCGUACGUGCAAAGCGGGCAGAGAUAGUGGCGCCUCCCCCUCGUCCCUGCAACCCCCCCCCCCCGACUCAGGCAGCGGCGAGGCGAAGGGAGGAGACGCCGACCCGCACCGGGAAGAGGAGGAGACCCUAGUUCCCGGCGCAGCGGGGAGAGGCCGCGGCCCCGGCACUCCCAGCUGCUUCCCUCGCCGGGGCAGCGAUGAGGCGGUGGCGAGCCUGAGCCCCCCGGGGAGAUCAGAGCGGCCUCGGCUCCCGCGGGUGCCCGCUCCCCACCCACGAGGAGGCCCGGGCUCCGUCGCGGGAGGCGGGCAGGCGAGCGGAGGCCGCCGCGGAGCGGGGACGGCCAUGAUGCAGUAAGAGCCACCCGCCCUCCCAGGCUCGCUCCCAGCGCGGUCCGCCUGAGCGCUGCUGCCGGCCACGAGCCCCCGGAGCACCAGGGGCGGCGGCGCCAUGGCCAAUGACAGCGGCGUGGGCAGCGGGGCCGGCCAGGGCGGCGGCGGCGGCGGCGGCGAGCGGGACCGGCAGUACUGCGAGCUGUGCGGGAAGAUGGAGAACCUGCUGCGGUGCGGCCGCUGCCGCAGCUCCUUCUACUGCAGCAAGGAGCACCAGCGCCAGGACUGGAAGAAGCACAAGCUCAUCUGCCGCAGCGGUGGCAGCGCGGCGGCGGCAGGGGGCGCUGCCGAGCACCACGCCGGGGCUGCCGCGGGAGCAGGCGGCGGCAGGGAGGAGGGAGCCGGGGCUCAGAAGCUGCCGCUGGGCGCGGGCCCCGGCGCGGAGGAGGAGGAGGAGGAGGCGGCUGCGGCGCCUCUGACCAACAACCAUGUUCCCGCUGCCGCUGCCGCGCUGUCGGAGGCGGCGGCCCCCGCCGAGGAGGAGGCGGCGGCUCCGGCCGGGGAGGCGGGGCUCGUCUACCGGGACAAAUCCAACCUGUACCCGGGCGGGGGCCAGGCCGGGGCCGGCGGGGGCGCGCUGCGGCCGAACGGGCAGACCAAGUCGCUGGUGCCGCAGCGGCUGGCGCUGGAGUACAUCGUGCCCUGCAUGAACAAGCACGGCAUCUGCGUGGUGGACGAGUUCCUGGGCAAGGAGGUGGGUGGGCGCAUCGCCCGAGAGGUGCGGGCCCUGCACCACACCGGCCGCUUCACCGACGGGCAGCUGGUCAGCCAGAAGAGCGACUCCUCCAAGGACAUCCGCGGGGACAAGAUCACCUGGGUGGAGGGCAAGGAGCCCGGCUGCCAGACCAUCGGGCGCCUCAUGAACAGCAUGGACGAUCUCAUCCGCCACUGCAAUGGCAAGCUGGGCAACUACAAAAUCAACGGCAGGACGAAAGCAAUGGUGGCUUGUUAUCCAGGCAAUGGAACAGGAUAUGUGCGUCAUGUUGAUAAUCCAAAUGGAGACGGAAGAUGUGUCACAUGUAUAUAUUAUCUUAAUAAAGACUGGGAUGCCAAGGUAAGUGGAGGUAUUCUUCGAAUAUUCCCAGAAGGCAAAGCUCAAUUUGCUGAUAUUGAACCCAAAUUUGAUAGACUGCUGUUUUUCUGGUCUGACCGCCGCAACCCUCAUGAAGUGCAACCAGCAUUUGCUACAAGGUACGCAAUAACAGUGUGGUAUUUUGAUGCAGAUGAAAGAGCACGAGCUAAAGUAAAAUAUCUAACUGUAAUUCUCUUCACAAAAGUAAAAUGAUGGACCAAAUCCUGAGGUUCACUUGACUUCUUUGCGAGUUUCUGUGUAAGGACUGAGCCCUACACUUUUGAAAUGGAUUGUCUAAAGUUAGACUCUUAACUCCAUAUUUGAACAGUGAAAAAGGUGUGAGGGUUGAACUCAAUAAACCUUCUGACUCAAUUGGGAAAGACGUUUUAUAAAGCAUUUCAUCUAGCAACUCUCCUUGCUACUUUCCCCCAGUAAACUAUUAACUUUUGAAUGUGAAUAAUGGGAUAAAGAAAAAUUGACAAGAAAUCAACGUUUUAAUAAGGAAACAAACACAGCGUUUCAAUGUUGCAUCAAACAGAAGAUUUUGACUGCUGAAGCAUUGUGCUAUGUGAUUGUGACUCCAGACCUGUGACUGCUUAUGUAAAGAAGAUAAGCAAUCAGUAAGAAAUAGCGUACACAUAUGGACAUGAAAUAAGUGCCCUACAUAGAAUUUUUCCAUUCUUAUAUUUUGUCAGACCUGUCAUCCAAUUCAUCUCUCCCUUUUUUUAUAUGGUAAAGUUUGGAUUUGGGGUAAUUUUUGUAUGACCAGGUACAAUUUAUCAAAAUUGAGUAAAAAUACAGUAUUCUCCAAAAUAUCAUUGAUCUAUUUUUGUAAAACUGUUCUCUGCCAUGAAAUACCUAAUUUAAUAUAAGAAUUGCCAGUAACUGAUGAUCACUUUAAUUUUCUUUACAUCUAAAGUCAGAAAAGGAGCACUUUAAUUACCAGCUAAAAACCUGAUUGUUUUACAUUCAUAUCUCACACUAAUUUGAACUUUUAAAGAUUGCUGCUGUAUUGUUUUUGACUAUGUCCUUUAUGAAACUUGUUAACAGAAACAAAUCACUAUCUUACUAUCAGCAACUUCUAAUUCAUGGUGUUGUAUGUUGAAUCCACAGAGGGGAAGGAUUCUAUUUUUUUUUUUUUUUUUUAAUGUGACUGGCACUAAGUGAACUUGACACUAUCCAUACUGUAGGUGGCUUUGGGGACCUGGUAAAUACCAUCAAGUUCCUAGGAUACAUAAGGGCUUUCCUAGGCUUUUAGAGGUACCAGAACCUCCUCCCUAUGUAUUUGACAGGAGAAUUCCACCUUUUUCUUCCUUUCUGAAAGUUGUUCUUUUAUGUAUAUAAGUUAAUAGAACAUUGAAAUUCACAAACUUUGUGUUCUUUCUGAAUACUGGUGUCCCAUUUGGUCUGCAGGCUGGCACCUUGGUCUAUUAUAUAGUAUCAAGGGAACAUUGAGUACAUUGAGGCUGAAGUGCAUCACUACAAGCUUCAUGUGUAAUACAUUUUCAGAUUGUCACUCUGCUGAAGAAUUUCCCCAAAAAGGCACUGGCCUUUGAUCAGUCCUGAGUAUUUAGUGGGAAAAAAUUACUUUAUUUUUACAUUUUCAUUUUUUUUAAAGGAAAAAUGGACUUUACAGAAUAAAGAUGAGAUAUCCAAAAGCUUUGAAAUUUUGUUACUUAAGAGAUGGAUGUUCUAGUCUUGAGCUUUAAAGUUUGAGAGAACAAAGAAAAUCCUAAAAGGCAGCAUCCAAAUUUACAAAUGUCUUUGGUAUUUGAGCUCACCUCCUUCAUUUUUUCUAUCUGUCCUUGAUUUCCUUACAUAGCCAAAACAAUGUGAGUGUACAGAAAUAUUUCUGUAUAUAAUAUUACAGCUUACAACAGUUUUAGCAUCUGUAUAGUUUGUAUUCAAUCAGAGACCUUUUCUAUGGAAAGCUCAGUAAUUUUUAUUAAAAAGAUUACUAUUCAUGUAAAACAUGAAAAAAAGACCCAACAACCCUAAUUUUAUUUAGUGACAAACUGACUGGUGUGUGUGUGUGUGUGAAGGGUGGGAUGGGGCGUGGAGGAAAUUCAGUAUUGUGAUACAAUGGAGGAGACCUUAUGGAAAAAUUCUCAUUUUGUUCAGACCUUAAUUAGUUCUCACCCUUUACAAUUUAAUUUCUUUCCUCCAUUCCCAGAAAAUCAAACAAGACACCUCUCUACUGUAAGUGCCUCUGCCAGCCUGACCAAGGAGUGCAAAUCUUCAUUACUGUCUGGUCUGCAGUGCAUUGCAUUAGGCCAGCUUUAACAAAACAAACACACACAAAAAAGCCACCACUUUUAAUUUUAUUUACUUUUGUAUUAUUUUGAUAGAGAUUUGAUUGGUUUUGUUUCAGAAAUAAACCUAAACCUUUCAAUUCUAUUCCAGUCCCUCUGUAAUUCAAACUUCUAUUGCUGCAGGUAUGCAAAGUAUCAAAUUCUAAUCACUGUAUAGGUUUCUGCUUGCCAGACAGGUUAAAAAAAAGUGCUUAAUUUUUUGCUUCAUCAUUUCUUGUCAAUCAUUACAAAAGGGUCAACAAAUCAGAGCAGCCAUUUCUUUAACAGUAUCCUUUUAGAAUCUGUUCAUUUCAUGUCAGUUGAAAUCUUCAAUCUUGCGUCACAAAGCAGGUCCCUGUUUAAAAGUAUUUUUUAAACUGUCUUAUGACCUGUAUGUGUUUAGUCCUGGUUAAGAUAAAGCUUCAUAAUACUAUUUUUAUUCAUGACAUUAGCCAGCUGUAACACAGGAGACCUUUUUCUAUAACAGGCAAAGAAAUUCAGGAUUCAUUUACAGAUUGCCUAUAAAGUCAUGUAAUUUGAAAAGCAGUGUUCGUUAUAAAGAGCUCUCAAGUUGCUUGUAAAGCUAAUCUAAUUAAAAAGAUGUAUAAAGGUUCUUGGAAACAACGUGGUGGUUAUUUGUAAUUAUGUAACUUUUUAAAGCCUACUCCACAGCAGCUAAUUUAUAAUCUGAUAAAAUAGGGGUGUGUGUGUCUGUUUUUAGCAUUCAGUGAUACUACAGCUACAGUCAAGGGUCUGCCAUUUGUUUCCUUGAUAAACUCUGUUUUUAAUUA